GAGGUCAUAGGUCAUUGGAUCAACUUCAGAGGGCUACCAUAUCAAACUGCACAUUACAACACUCAGAGGUAUCACGUCAAUAAAUAACAUCCACUUAUACAAAGUUAUCUCACGAAACAUUAUUAUUUUACAAGAGAUCCUGGAGAUCCUAUCAGGAACACAGUACAAAUAAACUCGUGUUUAUAGACAAAAUGAAUGUAAAUUAGGAUUCACUGUCCCCCAUCGGACAUGGCUCUCCUGUGUUAGUAACUAUAAAGUGUCCUGGCAGGUCCUUCUGCAUCGUACCACACACACACAGUAUCUUACCAGGUCCUUCUGCAUCGUACCACACACACACACAGUAUCUUACCAGGUCCUUCUGCAUCGUACCACACACACACACAGUAUCUUACCAGGUCCUUCUGCAUCGUACCACACACACACACAGUAUCUUACCAGGUCCUUCUGCAUCGUACCACACACACACAGUAUCUUAC